AUCACAUGAUGAGGACAGGCGUGUAUGUAUUCUUGGAGUCUCUCCCAAGUUUCUGGGAUGGAUUCCAUUCCUGUCUGCUGGAAACUUGAAAUUCUUCCACAUAUGGCAUU